AUUUUGCUUGUCUUCAAGAUUAAGCCAUGCAUGUCUCAGUACAUUCCGAUAAAUGGAGAAACCGCGAAUGGCUCAUUACAACAGCCAUAGUUUAUUAGAUCUUACUCUACUUGGAUACCUGUGGUAACCUAAGAGCUAAUACAUGCAAUCAAGUCCUGACCUUGCGGGAAGGACGCAUUUAUUAGAACAAAGCCAAUCGGGCUUGCCCGUAGUUUGGUGAAUCUGAAUAACUAUGCUGAUCGCACAGUCCUCGCACUGGCGACUCAUCUUUCAAAUGUCUGGCUUAUCAACUUUCGACGGUAGUAUACACGGCUACCGUGGUGUUGACGGGUGACGGAGAAUUAGGGUUCGACUCCGGAGAGGGAGCCUGAGAAACGGCUACCACAUCCAAGGAAG
rnacentral:rRNA from 1 species